rnacentral:rRNA from 1 species
GUCUUGUAAUUGGAAUGAUGGGAAUUUAAACCUCUUCCAGAGUAUCAAUUGGAGGGCAGUCUGGUGCCAGCAGCCGCGGUAAUUCCAGCUCCAAUAGCGUAUAUUAAAAUUGUUGCAGUUAAAAAGCUCGUAGUUGAAUUUCUGCUGCAUUGCAUUUUCUCCUAUACGAGUUUUUGCAUUGUGGCUUAUUUCGGUUAUAAAAUUUAUUUUUAUUUCCGGAUGUUUACUUUGAGAAAAUUAGAGUGCUCAAAGCAGGCUUUUGCCUUGAAUAGUUUAGCAUGGAAUAAUAAAGUAGGACUUUGGUUCUAUUUUGUUGGUUUUAGGUACCAAAGUAAUGGUUAAUAGGAACAGUUGGGGGCAUUCGUAUUUAACUGUCAGAGGUGAAAUUCUUAGAUUUGUUAAAGACGAACUACUGCGAAAGCAUUUGCCAAGGAUGUUUUCAUUAAUCAAGAACGAAAGUUAGGGGAUCGAAGACGAUCAGAUACCGUCGUAGUCCUAACCAUAAACUAUGCCGACUAGAGAUUGGAGGUCGUCAGUUUUUACGACUCCUUCAGCACCUUGAGAGAAAUCAAAGUCUUUGG